UCAUAUACAUUGAGAUGAUACAAAGUAAAACACAACCCUAUAUAGAGUAAAAAUUAUCUUGCUUUAACAAGGUUAAAUAUUUUUUAAGCAUUGAUGUUAUGUUUUAAUAACUACAUUUCAUGAUUUAAUUUAUAACUUUAUCUCUUAUGUGAACAUCCUUGAGUUGGAUAUUAUUUUUUAAGAGCAUUUUGUAGCUAGAUAUAUAUGCUAUCUGGUUUUAAAUGAUGGUUGAUUUAAUCCAAAAAUACCACUAACUCA
rnacentral:lncRNA from 1 species